rnacentral:lncRNA from 1 species
GAUUUUCAAAGGCAGGUCUCUUUUAUACAAAGAAACUGCUGGCAUUCUUAACUAGUGAAGAAUUAUGGCAAAAGCCGCCUUUUCUUCAGAAGUCUCAUGUAUGGUCCAAGAAAGCAUAUUCUGAUUGUAGCAACUGACCAGCCAAUCCAGAGUUCCACUAACAAAACUCCUGCCCUGUUGGCUUUUUUGUUUUUGUUUUCCAUUUCCUUCCCUGAGAAAAGGGCAACACGUGGUCCAAGCUGGAGAGCUCAAAGGCGUAAAGUUUCCUCCUUAUCUUCAUCUUCAUCAUCCUCUUCAUCAUCAUCAGGAUAAUCUACAAGCCCAACAAGGCCUCC